rnacentral:rRNA from 1 species
GAUGAACGCUGGCGGCGUGCCUAAUACAUGCAUGUCGAGCGAACAGACGAGGAGCUUGCUCCUCUGACGUUAGCGGCGGACGGGUGAGUAACACGUGGAUAACCUACCUAUAAGACUGGGAUAACUUCGGGAAACCGGAGCUAAUACCGGAUAACAUGUUGAACCGCAUGGUUCAACAGUGAAAGACGGUCUUGCUGUCACUUAUAGAUGGAUCCGCGCCGCAUUAGCUAGUUGGUAAGGUAACGGCUUACCAAGGCAACGAUGCGUAGCCGACCUGAGAGGGUGAUCGGCCACACUGGAACUGAGACACGGUCCAGACUCCUACGGGAGGCAGCAGUAGGGAAUCUUCCGCAAUGGGCGAAAGCCUGACGGAGCAACGCCGCGUGAGUGAAGAAGGUCUUCGGAUCGUAAAACUCUGUUAUUAGGGAAGAACAAAUGUGUAAGUAACUAUGCACGUCUUGACGGUACCUAAUCAGAAAGCCACGGCUAACUACGUG